rnacentral:rRNA from 1 species
CACAGCGCAAAGGUAGCUUGCACCUUUCAAGUGAGUGGCGAACGGGUGAGUAACACGUGGACAACCUGCCUCAAGGCUGGGGAUAACAUUUGGAAACAGAUGCUAAUACCGAAUAAAACUUAGUGUCGCAUGACACAAAGUUAAAAGGCGCUUUGGCGUCACCUAGAGAUGGAUCCGCGGUGCAUUAGUUAGUUGGUGGGGUAAAGGCCUACCAAGACAAUGAUGCAUAGCCGAGUUGAGAGACUGAUCGGCCACAUUGGGACUGAGACACGGCCCAAACUCCUACGGGAGGCUGCAGUAGGGAAUCUUCCACAAUGGGCGAAAGCCUGAUGGAGCAACGCCGCGUGUGUGAUGAAGGCUUUCGGGUCGUAAAGCACUGUUGUAUGGGAAGAACAGCUAGAAUAGGGAAUGAUUUUAGUUUGACGGUACCAUACCAGAAAGGGACGGCUAAAUACGUGCCAGCAGCCGCGGUAAUACGUAUGUCCCGAGCGUUAUCCGGAUUUAUUGGGCGUAAAGCGAGCGCAGACGGUUGAUUAAGUCUGAUGUGAAAGCCCGGAGCUCAACUCCGGAAUGGCAUUGGAAACUGGUUAACUUGAGUGCAGUAGAGGUAAGUGGAACUCCAUGUGUAGCGGUGGAAUGCGUAGAUAUAUGGAAGAACACCAGUG